GACGAACGCUGGCGGCGUGCCUAAUACAUGCAAGUCGAACGCAGUGGGGACGGGUGAGUAACACGUGGGUAACCUCCCCAUCAGAGGGGAUAACACUUGGAAACAGGUGCUAAACAGAUAAUGAUGGAUGGACCCGCGGUGCAUUAGCUAGUUGGUGCGGUACCGGCUCACCAAGGCAACGAUGCAUAGCCGACCUGAUAGGGUGAUCGGACACACUGGUACUGAGACACGGCCCAGACUCCUACGUGAGGCAGCAGUAGGGAAUCUGCGGCAAUGGACGAAAGUCUGACCGAGCAACGCCGCGUGAGUGAAGAAGGUUUUCGGAUCGUAAAACUCUGUUGUUAGAGAAGCGGUAUCUAACAAGAAAGCCACGGCUAACUACGUGCCAGCAGCCGCGGUAAUUA
rnacentral:rRNA from 1 species